CGCACGGGUGAGUAACACGUAUGGAACCUGCCCUAUGCAGGGGGAUAAGCGGAAGAAAUUCCGUCUAAUACCGCAUAACACCAUUUGGAGACAUCUCCAGGUGGUCAAAGGAGGCGACUCCGGCAUAGGAUGGCCAUGCGUCGCAUUAGCUAGUCGGCGGGGUAACGGCCCACCGAGACGACGAUGCGUAGGGGUUCUGAGAGGAAGGUCCCCCACACUGGUACUGAGACACGGACCAGACUCCUACGGGAGGCAGCAG
rnacentral:rRNA from 1 species